rnacentral:rRNA from 1 species
GAUGAACGCUGGCGGCGUGCCUAAUACAUGCAAGUCGAGCGAACAGACGAGGAGCUUGCUCCUCUGACGUUAGCGGCGGACGGGUGAGUAACACGUGGAUAACCUACCUAUAAGACUGGGAUAACUUCGGGAAACCGGAGCUAAUACCGGAUAAUAUAUUGAACCGCAUGGUUCAAUAGUGAAAGACGGUUUUGCUGUCACUUAUAGAUGGAUCCGCGCCGCAUUAGCUAGUUGGUAAGGUAACGGCUUACCAAGGCGACGAUGCGUAGCCGACCUGAGAGAGGGAUCGGCCACACUGGAACUUAGACACGGUCCAGACUCCUACGGGAGGCAGCAGUAGCGAAUCUUCCGCAAUGGGCGAAAGCAUGACGGAGCAACGCCGCGUGAGUGAUGAAGGUCUGCGGAUCGUAAAACUCUGUUAUUAGGGAAGAACAAAUGUGUAAGUAACUAUGCACGUCUUGACGGUACCUAAUCAGAAAGCCACGGCUAACUACGUG